UACCAGCACCCCGAGUGGUCGGGACGAUUAUUGGGCCUAAAGCAUCCGUAGCCGGUUUUACAAGUCCUCCGUUAAAUCCAGCUGCUUAACAGAUGGGCUGCGGAGGAUACUAUAAGACUAGGAGGCAGGAGAGGCAAGCGGUACUCAGUGGGUAGGGGUAAAAUCCGUUGAUCCAUUGAAGACCACCAGUGGCGAAGGCGGCUUGCCAGAAUGCGCUCGACGGUGAGGGAUGAAAGCUGGGGGAGCGAACCGG
rnacentral:rRNA from 1 species